ACGCCCGUGGCUCAACCGGACAGAGCGCCUGCCUACGAAGCAGGAGGGUGCAGGUUCGAAUCCUGCCGGGCGUG
rfam:Kribbella flavida DSM 17836, complete genome.